UAGGGAAUCUUCCACAAUGGGCGAAAGCCUGAUGGAGCAACGCCGCGUGAGCGAAGAAGGUCUUCGGAUCGUAAAGCUCUGUUGUAAGGGAAGAACAAGUGCAGUAGUAACUGACUGCACCUUGACGGUACCUUAUUAGAAAGCCACGGCUAACUACGUG
rnacentral:rRNA from 1 species